AGAGUUUGAUCCUGGCUCAGGACGAACGCUGGCGGCGUGCCUAACACAUGCAAGUCGAGCGAGGGGAGUUCUUCGGAACGAACCUAGCGGCGGACGGGUGAGUAACACGUGGGUAACCUGCCUCAAAGAGGGGGAUAGCCUUCCGAAAGGAAGAUUAAUACCGCAUAAUCCAUUGUUUCCGCAUGGAAGUGAUGGUAAAGAUUUAUCGCUUUGAGAUGGACCCGCGGCGCAUUAGCUAGUUGGUGAGGUAACGGCUCACCAAGGCCACGAUGCGUAGCCGACCUGAGAGGGUGAUCGGCCACAUUGGAACUGAGACACGGUCCAGACUCCUACGGGAGGCAGCAGUGGGGAAUAUUGCACAAUGGGCGAAAGCCUGAUGCAGCAACGCCGCGUGAGUGAUGAAGGUCUUCGGAUUGUAAAGCUCUGUCUUUUGGGACGAUAAUGACGGUACCAAAGGAGGAAGCCAC
rnacentral:rRNA from 1 species